UACGAAGGGGGCUAGCGUUGUUCGGAUUUACUGGGCGUAAAGCGCACGUAGGCGGAUCGAUCAGUCAGGGGUGAAAUCCCAGGGCUCAACCCUGGAACUGCCUUUGAUACUGUCGAUCUGGAGUAUGGAAGAGGUGAGUGGAAUUCCGAGUGUAGAGGUGAAAUUCGUAGAUAUUCGGAGGAACACCAGUGGCGAAGGCGGCUCACUGGUCCAUUACUGACGCUGAGGUGCGACAGCGUGGGGAGCAAAAGGG
rnacentral:rRNA from 1 species